UGACACUUGCCUGGUGUAUGACAUCGAC
rnacentral:piRNA from 1 species